rnacentral:rRNA from 1 species
AUUGAACGCUGGCGGCAUGCUUUACACAUGCAAGUCGAACGGCAGCACGGACUUCGGUCUGGUGGCGAGUGGCGAACGGGUGAGUAAUACAUCGGAACGUGCCCAGUUGUGGGGGAUAACUACUCGAAAGAGUAGCUAAUACCGCAUGAGAACUGAGGUUGAAAGCAGGGGAUCGUAAGACCUUGCGCAACUGGAGCGGCCGAUGGCAGAUUAGGUAGUUGGUGGGAUAAAAGCUUACCAAGCCGACGAUCUGUAGCUGGUCUGAGAGGACGACAAGCCACACUGGGACUGGGACACGGCCCAGACUCCUACGGGAGGCAGCAGUGGGGAAUUUUGGACAAUGGGCGAAAGCCUGAUCCAGCAAUGCCGCGUGCAGGAUGAAGGCCUUCGGGUUGUAAACUGCUUUUGUACGGAACGAAAAGCUUCGGGUUAAUACCCUGGAGUCAUGACGGUACCGUAAGAAUAAGCACCGGCUAACUACGUGCCAGCCGCCGCAGUAA